GCCGCUGUAGCUCAGUUGGAAGAGCGUCCGGUUGAAAAUCGGAAGGUCGUCGGUUCAAUACCGGCCGGCGGCACCA
rnacentral:tRNA from 2 species